AAAGCGAACCAAGCAGGCCGAACCAAUCAAAUUCUAUUUUGAAAUUUCUAUUUCUUUUCCCCUUUGGAGAUAAGUGCAUCGGCAUUUCAAUGCAAAUAAAUUACUGGAACGAAAUUGAGCUAGUGUCGCAGGCCUCAUUAAUUACUGUGAUAUCAAUCGCAAUUCUGUUAUGUUUCACCGCAUGUUUGUCCAAUUUCGCUAAAUUCUAUCGCGACGAAAAACGCCUGAAAGUCCGCACUGCUUUAAUUCAAAUUUUCAUACUUUCGAUACUGACCGCUAUCCUGGUAUGUGUCGAAAAUUCACUGGCAACAGGAAGCCCCUAUCGAAAUGCGAAAAUUGAAUCGAUUCUAACAAAAUACUGGCAUGACCGUGAAUCUAGCGCACACUUUUGGAACACAUUGCAAUCCACGUAUAAAUGUUGUGGAGUGAAUGGGAACAUGGACUGGGAACCGAAUGUACCAAUGGCAUGCUACCAAAGUCAAUCAAACUGGUUGUUUUGGGAAAAUACUAUCACCCGUCCGCUUCCUCACGAUAGAGGCUGUUAUGGUGUUAUUGUCACAUAUUUCAACGAAAUGACUUGUUGGUUUGAAUUUAUUGGAACGGCCUUCAUAUUGUUGGGAAGUUUUUCCGUCUUUGGAAUGAUACUGACUUUGGUGUUGAAUUUAAUGUUUCACCAGAAGAGACCCUCAGAUAAAUCACUUCCACUUUGAAUAAAGAACAACCGUUGGCACUACACACAGACAUUUUUCUUGUAAAAAGAAAAGAAAAGUUAACUCACCCGAUAACAAGUCUCUAUUUGGUGUCUGAGUGUUAACCGACCGCGUCGCGUCGCCGUGUAACAAAUCUGCAAUUGGUGCACGAUGCCCUUCAGGAGUACCUCGCGAAAAC